CUCUGUUUCAUCCCUAUUCUUCUGCCUCUUUCCUUAUGUUGCCUAUGUAAAGUCACAUUAUGGUCUGGCAGAUCCAUUUGUGUCACGUUGCUGUUCAAGGUCAUUUACACGAAUCCAAGGCUUAUUGUUGUUGGCAUGCUUUAUUACAGUUGCAGCUUGGCUUGUUUCUGGGCAUUGGGUUUUGAACAACUUGUUGGGUAUUUCUAUUUGCAUCGCAUUUGUGAGUCAUGUGCGCCUUCC
rnacentral:misc_RNA from 1 species